UACAGAGACUGCAAGCGUUAUUCGGAUUCACUGGGCGUAAAGGGUGCGCAGGCGGCCGUGUGUGUCAGGUGUGAAAGCCCGGAGCUUAACUCCGGAAUUGCGCCUGAAACUACAUGGCUAGAGCAUUGGAGAGGGUAGCGGAAUUCACGGUGUAGCAGUGAAAUGCGUAGAUAUCAAGAGGAACACCUGGGUAGAAGACGGGUUGCUGGGCCGACACUGACGCUGAGUGCGCGAAAGCCAGGGAGCAAACGGG
rnacentral:rRNA from 1 species